rnacentral:rRNA from 1 species
GGGAUAAUUCCGGAUAACGCACAUAUGCUGGAAUGCUUUCUGCGUAAAAUGGAUUCGUCUGCCCAAGGAUGGGUCUGCGGCCUAUCAGGUAGUAGUGGGUGUAAUGUACCUACUAGCCUACGACGGGUACGGGUUGUGAGAGCAAGAGCCCGGAGAUGGAUUCUGAGACAUGAAUCCAGGCCCUACGGGGCGCAGCAGGCGCGAAAACUUUACACUGCGCGAAAGCGCGAUAAGGGGACCUCGAGUGCGUGCGCAAUGCGUACGCUUUUCAGAUGCCUAAAAAGCAUGUGGAAUAAGGGCCGGGCAAGACCGGUGCCAGCCGCCGCGGUAACACCGGCGGCUCAAGUGGUGGCCGCUAUUAUUGGGCUUAAAGGGUCCGUAGCCGGACCAGUUAGUCCCUUGGGAAAUCUUACGGCUUAACCGUAAGGCUGCCAAUGGAUACUGCUGGUCUUGGGACCGGGAGAGGUAAGAGGUACUUCAGGGGUAGGAGUGAAAUCCUGUAAUCCUUGAGGGACCGCCAGUGGCGAAGGCGUCUUACUAGAACGGGUCCGACGGUGAGGGACGAAAGCUGGGGGCACGAACCGGAUUAGAUACCCGGGUAGUCCCAGCCGUAAACGAUGCUCGCUAGGUGUCAGGCAUGGCGCGACCGUGUCUGGUGCCGCAGGGAAGCCGUGAAGCGAGCCACCUGGGAAGUACGGCCGCAAGGCUGAAACUUAAAGG